CUUCCUUUUGCUUUCUGGUGGCAGGGAUACCAUGGAGGUAGCUAAGAGAAAAAGAAGCACCAGUUUGAGCGUGGAAAACAGUUUCCAUAGUUAGAUUUUCCGUAUUUCAAUGGGUUUAAUGCUAUAUUGGAACUUUUUGACUUUUGAAUACGAAUAUCUAAUCUCUUUGAAAAUCAAUUCCACAAACCAUCAUAUAACGAUUCCAAAACCUUUAGGAUAUGGUUCUCAGAGACAGCUAAGGCAAGACAUACAAAUACAUACUCAAAUGAAUAUCCUUUAUUCUUCUUGAAAGACAGCUAAUGCCUGAGAUGGAAAUAUUUAUCGGGGACCCAUGUAAGCCUCUAGCAUUAUAGAUAAGCUGAAGUAGAAAAGCAUGAAAAAGGCCAACUGUGUUAAGGGUGUCAUAAUCAAGUUGUGGAAUUACCACUCUGAAUCUCUUCUGUCUACAAAUAUUUAUUAUAUAAAGUAAACUACUUUGAUGUGUAUGUUUUUGCAAUUACGUUUUCUGUACUUUAGGCUAAAAAAUACCAUAAAAUAUGGCACAGUAACUCAGAGAAAUGAGUUCACGAUAGACUACCAGAGUCCUAACGAAAAGCAGAG